rnacentral:rRNA from 1 species
UACGUAGGGGGCAAGCGUUAUCCGGAUUUACUGGGUGUAAAGGGAGCGUAGACGGCAGUGCAAGUCUGGAGUGAAAGGCGGGGGCUCAACCCCCGGACUGCUCUGGAAACUGUACGGCUGGAGUGCAGGAGAGGUAAGUAGAAUUCCUAGUGUAGCGGUGAAAUGCGUAGAUAUUAGGAGGAACACCAGUGGCGAAGGCGGCUUACUGGACUGUAACUGACGUUGAGGCUCGAAAGCGUGGGGAGCAAACAGG